CACGCAGGCGGUCUGUCAAGUCGGAUGUGAAAUCCCCGGGCUCAACCUGGGAACUGCAUUCGAAACUGGCAGGCUAGAGUCUUGUAGAGGGGGUAGAAUUCCAGGUGUAGCGGUGAAAUGCGUAGAGAUCUGGAGGAAUACCGGUGGCGAAGGCGGCCCCCUGGACAAAGGCUGACGCUCAGGUGCGAAAGCGUGGGGAGCAAACA
rnacentral:rRNA from 1 species